rnacentral:rRNA from 1 species
GGUCCCUACGGGGCGCAGCAGUGAGGAAUAUUGGUCAAUGGGCGAGAGCCUGAACCAGCCAAGUCGCGUGAGGGAAGACGGUCCUAUGGAUUGUAAACCUCUUUUGUCGGGGAGCAAAAAGGCCUCGUGAGGCCACAAGUGAGAGUACCCGAAGAAAAAGCAUCGGCUAACUCCGUGCCAGCAGCCGCGGUAAUACGGAGGAUGCGAGCGUUAUCCGGAUUUAUUGGGUUUAAAGGGUGCGCAGGCGGAAGAUCAAGUCAGCGGUAAAAUUGAGAGGCUCAACCUCUUCGAGCCGUUGAAACUGG